rnacentral:rRNA from 1 species
GUCAAUGGACGAGAGUCUGAACCAGCCAAGUAGCGUGAAGGAUGACUGCCCUAUGGGUUGUAAACUUCUUUUAUAUGGGAAUAAAACGUUUCACGUGUGGGAUUUUGUAUGUACCAUAUGAAUAAGGAUCGGCUAACUCCGUGCCAGCAGCCGCGGUAAUACGGAGGAUCCGAGCGUUAUCCGGAUUUAUUGGGUUUAAAGGGAGCGUAGGUGGAUUGUUAAGUCAGUUGUGAAAGUUUGCGGCUCAACCGUAAAAUUGCAGUUGAAACUGGCAGUCUUGAGUACAGUAGAGGUGGGCGGAAUUCGUGGUGUAGCGGUGAAAUGCUUAGAUAUCACGAAGAACUCCGAUUGCGAAGGCAGCUCACUGGACUGCAACUGACACUGAGGCUCGAAAG